rnacentral:tRNA from 1 species
GCAAUAGUAGCUUAAUAUUUAGAGCGCCGGCUUUGUAAACCGGAGGUGGAGGUGAAUAUCCCUCUCUUUUGCU